GCGAAAGUAGCUCAGUUGGUAGAGCAUCACCUUGCCAAGGUGGAGGUCGCGGGUUCAAAUCCCGUCUUUCGCUCGA
rnacentral:tRNA from 1 species